GCGAGGGUAGCCAAGCCUGGUCAAUGAUGAAAGUCAUAAAAUCUGUUCCUGAAGAGGUUCGCCGGUUCAAAUCCGGCCCCUCGCA
rnacentral:tRNA from 1 species